UGGCAUUGGGAAACCCUGUUGCGGUGGCCUACCGGCAAACUGAGGUGGCAGCGGUGGAGGUGGACCCCGACCCAUUGGAGGAGCUUGACCAGGAUAAGCAGGAGGAGGCAUCUGGCCAGGUGGACGUAAGACGGGGGCGGCACCAGCCGGUGGAGCCGCUGCUGCAGGGUAAGUCAUAGGCGGAGCAGAAAGUUGUGGGACCGGAGGACGCGAGAGCUGCGGCUGCAUCAUGCCGGGUGCAGGCCCACCAACGCC
rnacentral:lncRNA from 1 species